rnacentral:lncRNA from 1 species
UCAUGUUUUAAUAUUAUGUUGUUAAUUCAGCAACAUUUCAUAUAUACCCUGCACAAAAUGAAAACAUUAAUACAGAUUGAGAUUAAAAUUUACUUCUUCCAAAAUUAAAUAUAUAUUAUAAAUUGUUCUUGUUUCGUGAAUGGAGUACAACUGGCAAAAGAUGAAAAAUGCAGGCAAAACAUUUACCUUCGCUGUGAAGAAACGGCCACCUUUAUUUAAUUAAUUAGAUAAUAUUUUAAUAAUCAAGAAAUGGGUGAAAUAUAAUCAAGAUUUAUGGUUUCUUUCUGUUUUUUUUUACAGAAAGAAAUUCAAAUCUGAGGGAAUAAACGAAUUAAAGGCUACAUGUUAAAGAAAAGUGGCCGGCCGUCGAAGGCACAUGCAUGCAACAAAAAACUUUGUAUAUAUAUACAUAUAUAUCAUAUAUAUGUGUGUGUAUAAAUGUAUAUUUAAUAUUUAAACAUUUAGAUUCUCAAAAUAUAUAUAUAUAUAUAGAUAUAAAUAUUUACAUAAUCAGAGCUCUUAAUUCAUAGGACGAACAAGAGCUCGUAAGGUG